AACCCUUCAGUCUCAUGUGGGGAAUAUGAAGAUAUUUAAGCAAAAUGUGUAUGAUAUAAUUGAGACUCAACAAAUUAAUUAUCCUUCCCUUUUAUCAUAUUCCAGGGAGAACCUAGCCCAAGAAUAUUGGGCAAAAAAUAGAGUAGAAUUUGGAUGAGUGUCAUCUAGAGAGUUUCGAUCCUAAAGUUGAUUGGUGAAGAAAGAUCUCACAGAUAUUUAGCCCGAGUUUACUGUGUAGUUGAUUAGCCUUCUGCUUCAUGUCGUCUUUCCCCAAAUGGCUUAACAUAAAUAGACUAAAUAACAGUGAACUGUAUUUCACUGGCUCUCUUGGUUAUCAAGACCUUUCAGGGAUGGCAAUAUAUAGAACAUGUUGUAUCGGGAUUGUUUCACAGUUGAAAUGGAGACUCUGAAGUUUUUGUUAGACUAUUUCAGUUCAAACUUCACCGAAGAUCCUCAGAAGCUGGUGUACUGUAGUGAGCUGAUAGCUGGUGGUCCAGCUCAGGUUCACAGUUACACACACACAGUGUUAGGUCUCAAUUACUGGCAUGUCUAACUAUUCUCUGAGAUGACCUCACAGAAUUCAUAGGCAGAGCCUAAGAUUCUCCUGUGCACCACACACACGGAAGCAUUAAUGAAUUCUGAUGACGAAGGCAGCUUGUUCCCCAGGAAACAAAUAAUCUAAUGAUAAUAUUUAUAGCAAUAGCAGUAGUUUAUUGGGUGAUAUCUAUAUUGCAGUAGUAUACAAAUUUCUUAUGAACUCCAUUUUAUAGGUAAAUAAAUCAAGAUUGGGAAAAGAUUACAUAGAUUGUUCUAAAUAAGCAGCAACUGAGGAAACAUGAAUUAUGUAUAUUUUCUGAAUCCAAAGCCUGAUCUCUUAACCACCUCAUUUGUAGCCGUAGGAAAACCGGCCUCUUCUUAUGGAACUCAAAAUGAUUAGAGGUCAAGAGGUGACUAAUUCCUUUAUCUUCUGACUCUUCUCUUCCAUUCAGUUAACCCACAGAAACUCAAAAACAUUCAAAGGCUCUCAUUGCCUAGUGAAUCAAGUAAAGUUCCUUAAAGUUUUUGUAAUAUGAUCCCAACCUGAGUUUCCAAAAAGCUUCCAGGGCUCCCCUGCAUGCAAUAGUUUAAUUGGACUAUUUACCGUCUUCAGAGCCUGCUAUGGGGCUUCCCCACAUUUCUUGUUUAUAAUAAUAGUCCCUCAGCCUGAAUGACACCAUUCUAUCAGUGAAAUGCUCAAUUAUUUUUCAAGUAUCAGGUUAAAUUCUCUCUUGUCUAAGAGACCUUACCCGAACCCUAGAAUCAGAUGGUAUCUCCCUCAUUUUAGCACCCGUAGCUCUUACUAUCACUUUGCACCAUAUUAUAGCAGAGAGUGUCAUGUGGAAUCCUGCACAUCCUCAGUUGAUAUUCACUCAUCCCUUACUUGUUAGGUAAAUGAUUCACUUUUUCUGAGCCUCCAUAUCUUCUUAGAUGUAUAAUAUUAUAAACCAUAAUACAGGGCUCGUAGAGAUGAAACUCUUUUCCAACAGGUAGAAUACUACCUCCAUAGGGGAUAACUGAAACUGUGUAUAAGUCAUUUAUUUAUCACAAUGACUAGCAGGCAUUAACUGGCAUUAGUGACAAGAGGCCAGAGAUCUUGCCAUGUGUGUGACAGGCCCACACAUGGAAGAUUAUCCAAAUACUAAAUGCUCCCAGUAUGGCGGAGGUGGGUGGGAUGAGGUGGUGGUGAUAAAAGAAAAGUCAUCUUCAGGUUAGCUAUUGUCCAUUUAUUAAGGGAGGACUCAAAGAAUGGACUUAGUAAUGCAGAUAUCAGGUGAGAAAACUCCUGGAAAAGAUACAACUGUGUAUUUUAUGACCUGAUAAACUUUUGAUCCUCUCCAAAUCCAUUAUUAUGGAGAACUGAUCUCUCAGGAGUAGGUUAGUAACUUUCCGAGAAGCCAGGUAGAUAGUACAACAGUAAUUUAGAUAGAGGCACAUAGGUUACAGUUGGACUAAAACCUAUAUCCUCAGAAAAAGGCAAUGACUUAGAAAACAGCAGCAUGUCAGACAGAGGGAAUAUCAGUUAUGAAAGGUAGAAAGUAGAAAUAAACUCAUCAUAUUCCUCCAACAUAAGACCAACGUGGCUGGAACAUUAUAAAUAAAUAGGGAGGUGGUGUCACAUGAUGUUAAAUCAGCGAAUAGAGUAGGUCAUGGAUUUUCUUCUGAAUUCAAGAAUGGUGACUGAAAGGCAUACAAACAUCAGGGUGACAUAAUUGGAUUUUCUAAUUUAAAUAUUCAUUCUUGAUCUUUUGUGGAGUGUUGAUUGGAGGAAAGAUACAUGGCAAUAAACUAUUAGGGAGCCAUUCUAAUAAAUCAGAUAAAAAUGUUGAUACUUAAACCAAUACAGUAUCUGUAGAUAUGAGAAGUGUGUGGUUCUGGACAUACCAUAUUUUGGAGAUAGGCAAAAAGUUUGGUGGUGGAUGGAUGGAAUGUGUAAAGUAUAAGAAAACCAAGAAUUAAGAAGAAUUUUAAAGGAUUGUGAUAUACUGAGAACAUGUGGGCACCAAAAAUUUUAGUGAGAAUGUAAAAUGAUAGGCUUUGGCUAUCUUAAGGUGAAAUCAUAAUUAUAGUAAAUUUGGGUGUAAAUUACAGGGUCGGGUAUCAGUUGGGUCUAAGAGGAGAACUCAAACUAUAUAUAAAAUGUGCAAGCUAGCAUAUGUAGAACCUAGUGAGAGUGUAGAAAUAUUAAAAUAAAAUAUCCCAGAUUGAGUUUUAAACCUUUCAGGCUUCAGAGUUGGCGUAGGGAAAAAGAAUCAACAAAAGAUAUUUAGAAGGAACAGUUAGAAUACAGCAAAAGAAAAACAAAGAGAAGGGAUAUCACAAAAGCCUGGAAAUGAAAGUGUUUCAAGAAAGACAGUGUGGUCAGCUCCGCUGAAAGCUACUCAGUGGUCAAGUAAGAUGAGUGCAGAAAAAUGACCAUUGCAUCCAUGAAUAUGGCACCAUUAAUAAAAAGUAUUUUCUGAGGAGUGGAUUUGAAGGUGGCCACAUUGGAAUUGGUUAAAGGGUGGCUAGGACUUUCAGCUCUGAAAAAAAUGACAGAUUAAAGUAUUGUGGAAGAUGUUUAGAGAUGCCUAACUUCCUAGAGUUAUGUUUUAUAACAUUAAAGAACAGAAGUCACAAAAAAGAUAGGGCUGCACUCAGAACUGAAUCACGGAAUGGUCUCCACAAGAACUGAUAUUGUGGUUGCCCUUUGGAAGGUGUUGUUAGUAACAAUUGAAUUACAAAGACAGGGACAUGGGCUUCCAAGCUGAUAAUAUAAUAUUAAAAUACUUGUUUAAAUUUAGCACCCAUGAAGGGCUACAUCUCAGAAAGAGUGGUUUUGUGUGAC
rnacentral:lncRNA from 1 species